CCUACGGGAGGCAGCAGUGAGGAAUAUUGGACAAUGGGCGCAAGCCUGAUCCAGCCAUGCCGCGUGCAGGAAGAAGCAUCUAUGGUGUGUAAACUGCUUUUGUACAGGAAGAAACACUCCCUCGUGAGGGAGCUUGACGGUACUGUAAGAAUAAGGACCGGCUAACUCCGUGCCAGCAGCCGCGGUAAUACGGAGGGUCCGAGCGUUAUCCGGAAUCAUUGGGUUUAAAGGGUCCGUAGGCGGUUUAAUAAGUCAGUGGUGAAAUCUGGUCGCUCAACGAUCAAACGGCCAUUGAUACUGUUAGACUUGAAUUAUAAGGAAGUAACUAGAAUAUGUAGUGUAGCGGUGAAAUGCUUAGAUAUUACAUGGAAUACCAAUUGCGAAGGCAGGUUACUACUUAUGGAUUGACGCUGAUGGACGAAAGCGUGGGGAGCGAACAGGAUUAGAUACCCUGGUAGUCCACGCCGUAAACGAUGGAUACUAGCUGUUCGGAGCAAUCUGAGUGGCUAAGCGAAAGUGAUAAGUAUCCACCUGGGGAGUAACGUUGCAAGAAUGAAACUUNAAAGGAAUUGAGG
rnacentral:rRNA from 1 species